AUGAUGAUUUAGAUAUUCUUUAGUUUAUGGUUGAAACUGAAUAACCAUGAAGAUAUUAUUCUAGGGCGGUCUGAUACU